UUAAUGAUGCUCAUGUAUCCAAAUUCAGUGACCAAAAUAGCACAGAACUGAUGAAUAGUGUUAUGGUCAGAACAGAAGAAGAAAUCUCUGACACCGACCUUAAACAAGAGGAAUCACCCUCUGAUUUAGCCAGUGCUUAUGUUACUGAGGUAAGUUGUACUUUAAGAACAACUGAAUGGAUUCUUGCCUUGAGCCUCAAACCUGCAGCUUGGGAAACUUUUUUCUUUAGACUCCUGAAAUUAAGCUCAAACCCCUACACCUCACAAAGUGUUGUUGCUGGCAGAAAUGGGCAGGCAGUGAUCCUGUGGCAGUCAGGAAGAAUAAGAAAACCAUGUUCUAUCUUACCACAGUUCCUCACUAAAACUUUUUCCUCUUUACCUACAAUACAUUGAGAAAUGUUUGUUCGAACCCAUAGAAGCAUUUUCCUGAGAAUGGUUAGUAAUCUUUGUGGUUCAGCCUAGGAACAUCAUCCUACACUGUAACAGCAUUGUGUCUUCUGUUAUAUUCAGCUGACCUAUAACUGACCUAGUCCUUAAUGAGUUCCUUUUGUUAAAAGUAUGUUAGAUCGUGAGGUCAUCUUUUGUCCCUGUGAGACCUUAACUUUUUAUUUUAUAUUCUGAUUUUAAAAUGGGUUAUGUUUGAGUCUAACCUAUACAUGCCUAUACAUGGGAUUUUAAAGAAGACUAGUAAGGAAUAUGAGUCAAUAUAUUUUUUUUAAUGUUAUUUAGGGUUUAGAGUCUCCCACUAUAGAAGAACAAGUUGAUCAAACAAUUGAUGAUGAAACAAUACUUAUCGUUCCUUCACCACAUGGCUUUAUCCAGGCAUCUGAUGUUAUAGAUACUGAAUCUGUCUUGCCUUUGACAACACUAACAGGUACUGUAAUAUAAUACUUACUAUGUGCCUGAUAAAUUUUAGAUGGAAAAAAUCAGACAUUUAAUUAACUUGUUUCAGUCUUUCUUGAUCCAAUAAGCUACUAGUCCUGUUGAGUUCUACACUGUGGUAGAAUACCUUAAAUUCUUGACAUGGAUUAGAGAAUAAAUAUAUACAUUUAAGACUAACUUGAAACUCGUUACAGAUCCCAUACUCCAACAUCAUCAGGAAGAAUCAAAUAUCAUUGGAUCAUCCUUGGGCAGUCCUGUUUCAGAAGAUUCAAAGGAUGUCGAAGAUUUGGUAAACUGUCAUUAGAAUAAUUAUUAGAAAUAGGCAGUUCAGGCAAAGAAGCCACACUUUUAAUUACAACCUCUUCAAAGAAAUAGGAGCAACCCCCAAGAGGCUUAAUUUACCAAUUUAAAUAGCCACAGUGCUUAAGCCACACACACUGUUGCUGCUAUGACUUUUUACUUCCUUUAAACACAUCAUCUGAGGUUGAGUUUUAUGACAGUAUGUAGUUGAGUGGAGGCUGGGAGUUCUAAGCAUAAAUCCCUGUGUUUAAUGUUACAUGGGAAUAAGGAAUUUCAUUCACUUCAGCCAUUAAGUUUAGAAUCACGAAAGCUUAACUGCUGUGGUUUAGAGAAACUGUACUUUAAAGAUCAGACAUGACACUGCCUCCUCUCAAGCCUAGUUGUAGUUCAGAUGAGUCUUUUCAACAUGGUCUAGAGCUUACUAGUGAUCUUCUGAUCUUCAAGAAGACUAAGUUUGAGACUUGACCAGCAUACAAGUAUAGAGACCUAGGAGGUGGUCUUGUGGUGGUUACAUUUGGUUAACCCAUUGCUGGCAGUGGGAGCUGAUUUAGGCAGGGUAAACAGGAAAGCAUUAAAAGUUAAAAUUCACUACAGGUUUUUUGUUACUUUUAAAGGGAAUAUGGAUAAGCAUAGUAACAAAACCCACCAGAAUCUAAGCAGUUUUCACCCCCUCAGAAACCACUGUCAUUAGUUUACAAAGUUAGCACUUUGAAGUAAAACUAAAUGAGGAAGGAAGUAAUGUUACCUAUCCUUGAUACCGUGACCAUUUAUUAGAUGUUUUGCUAUAUAAAUUACCGAGAGAAUAGUUUGUCAUCCACUUAAUGUGUUAGCUGGUGGGGUACAAUAUAACCUCUCAUCUCAGGCAAUUUUAAAAAAACAAUAUUUGCUUCUAUAACAAAAGGAAACAAAUCUAAGAAUCAUUCCUGUACUACAGAAGGGUUAAGGCAAAGGUAGCCUUUUGGGCUUUUUAAUGAAUAUGACCCCUAUAGAAAAGUCAAGGGAAAAAAAAAAAAACCUUGUAUAAAUUAUUUUAUUUAUUAUUGUAAUUAGAUCUUCACAAAGUUGUCUUUUCACUGUCUGUUUUGUCAACGUGAAAUUAAAUUGUAGUUAUAAGCAAAAGUUGGUUGCCUAGGGAACAAUUGUAUAUUCAGUUUAACAGAAAUAAAAGAAUAUUUGUCUU
rnacentral:sRNA from 1 species